rnacentral:rRNA from 1 species
GAUUGAACGCUGGCGGCAUGCUUUACACAUGCAAGUCGAACGGUAACCGGCCUUCGGGUGCUGACGAGUGGCGAACGGGUGAGUAAUGCAUCGGAACGUGCCCAGAGGUGGGGGAUAACGCAGCGAAAGCUGUGCUAAUACCGCAUGUGAUCUGAGGAUGAAAGCGGGGGACCAAGCAGCAAUGUUUGGCCUCGCGCCUCUGGAGCGGCCGAUGUCAGAUUAGGUAGUUGGUGGGGUAAAGGCCUACCAAGCCGACGAUCUGUAGCUGGUCUGAGAGGACGACCAGCCACACUGGGACUGAGACACGGCCCAGACUCCUACGGGAGGCAGCAGUGGGGAAUUUUGGACAAUGGGCGCAAGCCUGAUCCAGCAAUGCCGCGUGCGGGAAGAAGGCCUUCGGGUUGUAAACCGCUUUUGUACGGAACGAAAAGGCUCUGGCUAAUACCUGGGGCUGAUGACGGUACCGUAAGAAUAAGCACCGGCUAACUACGUG